CCUGACAGCUGAACAAGGUGUUGCUCCCAAGACACAGCCAAGUCUGCAUCUUUUGCAGCCUGAGUGGAAACAGAAGAUGGCUUUCAGCAACCACACAAACAGCAGUUCAGCCGUGCCGGAGUUACUCCACAUGCUUGUGGAACAAAAGAAGACCCUUCGCUUCAAUAAUUACAGCAACCCGGCCUUAGAGAUGCAAGAGGAGAUAAUGGCCUCUUUUUAUAUCCUCAUCAUCGUUGGCUUUUUCGGCUUUCUUCUGUUUGUCAUGAUGCUCAGCAACAUCGUUUCCAGCAAGCCUGAAAAUUACAUUGACUAUCUCUAUUCUGGGAAGUUUAACCCUCAGAGAAGCAAGGUGGAGCUUCCAGGAAAGGAGAGCAAAGACACUUUUGUUAUCAUUAACAGCACUGCCUUACUGGAGCUGCAAAGGCACGACAGUAAAUACAACACUGGGCCUGAGGCACCAAGCGCAGAUGCAGUUCUGAGGAAUGUAUAAAAAUUGUUUCUUUUUUUUUAUUAUUAAUAUUCUGUUGUGCCUAAGGAGCUCAAACAGGGAUAAUUUUUUCAUUCGUGAAAGCAAGAAAGGAGGAGCUGUGCCAGGAAAGAUGCAGACUGGUCUCGUGCAAGCUUCCCACAUGAAUGCUGUGAAGGUACCCAAGCGCAACGUGCAACCUGUGUUAUUUCAGCCCUAGGCCUUCGGAGAAGAGGCUGGGAAUCAAGUCCUUACUGGUCUAUCUCCUUCAUGGCUGCAUUUAUCAUGUAUUUUUAUAACCUGCCUCUCGGGAGAAUGGAAGCUCUUCCUUUUCAUGCUGUUGCUUCAAGCAGGGUCAGUACGCUUCCAGCUGGGGCAUCAUUGUUGUGCCUGUUUGCUGUUAUUAAUUUUUGUUUGUUUAUUUAUCGGGGAGGAGGGGUUGGAGCUACGCAUGAGCCCACUGGGAGUGUGCUCUGCAAGCAGAAGGAGCAUCAGCUGCCUCCAUGUCCACACUCCCCACCACGCUGGGCACCCAGAGGUGGUGACAGACUGACCCAUAGAAGACCCGUGAGACUUGAACUUGUGUGCUCGCUCGGCAGGCUUGGUCUGCAGCGGGUUUUGGACAGUGGUCGUGCAUUUCUCAGCAGCUCUCUUCCUGCACGUUGGACCUUUACAAAAGCUCAGGACGACAAUGAGGUGGUCCCAGACAUCCUGAUGUCUCUCCAGGGUCCGUCACAGGGCCUACCUGGCCACCAUCAGGGCCUUCCAAGCCUCAGCAGACACAAGAAGGAGUGGUUUACCCACCACACAGCUCAGGGUUGUUCAUCCCAUGUCCUGCAGAGCCCGGGCACACAAGGGUUCAGGACAGUAGCUAUGGGGAGAUAAACGUCAGCAGUGAGCUUCAGCUUUCUAUUAUUGGUCCAUGCAUUGGAAAAAUCUCUGGAGUCUGCAAAUCAAAACAAUCAGAAACUGCCGGUGCAGGUACUCUGAGAACAUGAAGACAUAUUGUUAUAGCUGCAAAAAUCCUAUAAAACCCUAUAAAAUUUUGUGCCUGUGAGGUGGUGUUGCUGGUUCCACUCAGCUUCCUUUGUGUUGCUGCAUUAGCUUUUUGCUAUUGAUAGGAAGAAAGCUCUCAGCAAUUUAGUAUCCUAAAAAAACAUUUCUUCCCUUUUCUCCUCUCUAAUUUUUCUUAAACAGGGCGUUACUGAACCUGUAGCUUCGUUUUGCUCUUUUUUAAUGUAUCAUUAGCUGCCAUGAGGUAGUGUUGUUAUCAUGGGUUUUGCCACUGUUUAGUCCAGGCCAAUUGCCUGGAAAUGAUUUACUUUGUGUGGUCCAUAUCCUUAAAGGGAUUUUCCAUAGCCUGAUCUCGUAAGACAUGUUCCAAGGCUGAUACUCCCAGCUGAUAGCCAAGAUGAAAUCCACACUACUUUCUUGGCUUUCCACACUCCUUGCUUGAAUUCCAGAGAUUCAGCUUUCCAACACAGACGUGUCCUUUUUUGGACAGGUGAAUAUUCCCCAGAUACCGUCUCCAGCAGAGACCAAUUAGGCAGUUCAGAUGGUUUUGGACCCCAUUACCUUUGGCUUCAUCACUGUGUCUGGUUUAAUAACUGCUUGGCUUGAGCCAGGAUCCACUAUUUAUGCUCACUGCUCCUGACUGACUGCACUUGGUAGCAACGCUCCCAUUACUGCAGCUCAGCUAUUCAGAUCUU